UGAGCAUUGAACCUCAUCCGCGGAGAGUCCCAGCGCUCCUGGAUCGGCGGCUGGGUCAGCUGACAAGGCUGAGACUGUCUUGGGAAAUGUGCCUACUGUUUAGUGGCUGCAAGAGUCCAAGCCCAUGUGCGUGGAACAGCGUGAGGCAGGACCUACUUGAGGUCCGAAAGCAAUGGAAGCUGCUGCUGUUGCUUCACAGUGUGUCUCCUGUGUCCCUUGUGAGAACAAGCCUGCUGGUGCUGGAGUCUCAAUGCUCCAGGCAUCGGUUGCACCGCCUUGGUAUUUGGAAGAUGAAACUGUGGGUCCUGAGGGAAAUGAUGGACCCUGUGGAUCCGAAUACUACAUGUCUGGCUCCUCUCUUGACUCUCAGCCUCUUGUGCUGAGAUCUUCAAGAAACAAAAGCGUAUUGGAAAGCCUGGUAAUCUUCCCCAGAAGGAAUUAGAAAAUACCUGUACCUCAGAUUACUCCUCCUCUCUCUCUGACUACGAGAAUAGCGAAAUCACCAAGUUACCUGAAGAUGUUCCUCGUGUUGGGGCCCUUGAGAUGACUCCACCCCAGGUCUGGGAGGAGCGGGAAGCUUCCUCCUCCUCUCCCUCCUCCUCCUCUCCCUCCUCCUCCUCCUCUCCCUCCUCUUCCUCUCCCUCUUCCUCCGCCUCCUCCUCUACCUCCUCUCCAGUCCCUGUGAGUCAGCAGGGUGAGUUCUCUCUGUUCCCACAACACACAGACACAGCACCCAUCAGGGAAAUUUAUUACAGGUGUGUCUUUCUGAAAAGAGAUGUGACUGUCUGGUGGGGUGGGGUGGAAGUGUUGGAGCCCGCCUAAAAAAAGACCAAAAUGGUGCAGUGUGUUUUUUCUCAAGUGGCCCAAAAAACAUCUGGGGCGUUUUUAACACCAAAAAGCCAGAAUACUUUUCUGAGAAGACCCUCUUAUGUGUCUCCACCGAAACGCCUCACUGACAUGGAGUGUAGCUCAGAUAACAACACCCUGCAGGGGAAGGAGUGGGCUGGCAGUGCAGGGGAGCCUCCAGCCCAGGAGGAGAGCUCCAGGGCCAAGACACCCCAGGGGCUGGGGACCCCGGACAGCGGCUUCAGGUGCCUGGGCUGCUGCCUGGUUUUCCGCAGCUUGGAGGUCCUGCAGGCACACGUGGAAAAUGUGGCCCGUGAGCGCUUCAGCUGCCUCGUUUUCAACCGUGCAUUUGCUCAGAUGCUCAGCAAGCACAAGAAGAGAGCCUGAGAGCUGGGAGGAGAAAAUCAGGAUGAGAACGUUUCCCUGCCAGACCAAAAACGUUCUCGCAGUAAGACAACCUCCUGCAAGUAAACAGACAUUUCAGGCCCCAGAAAAGUGAAAGUGAAGCAGGCCAGCCUCUACUGAGCCACCACUACUGGCCCUUUCAGCUCCUCUUUUUUGAAGGACUUGGCUGGUUUAGCUGUUACUUUAAUUGAUUAAGCAUGCUCACGAACCCUUCAAUAAAUCAUUUUGCCUCAAUUAGCCAGUCUUUUACUGUUGUUUGUAAUCUAAUGUAUCUUCACGGAUGCAAAUUAGCUUUAACAUGAUCAUUUCUUUUUAAUCAUUGAAAUGGUGUAGGGUAGAAAGGAGUAGCACACUAUAGUCCUCUGAGUUUGUACUGAAACAAUUAGGGGUAUAUACUUACACUUGGUAUGUAUACUAUGUUCUUGAUUAGUUAGGAAGCUGUAUUGAAAAGGUUUACAUAUGUAUACAAAAAAAUUGGACUUCAGUAGAGUAGACCUGGGCUUAAGUUCUUUACCAACUCUUAGCAGUUUUGCACACUUUUGGGUCAGUGCUCUCGUCUUCAAAGAGGAGAGAAUGUUACCUAAAAUAAUGGGAAUUGUGAAGGUAACAGACACAGGUGAAAGCACCUAGUACAGUGACUGGCAUAAAUGGAGGCUGAGAAUAAUUUCUCAUUCCUUUUUGAGAUUUGUUUUCCUUACCUCUGAGAAUCAGCAUUUUGAUUAUGAUGUGUCUGCAUGGGGUCUUUAAUUUUUUUAGUUUAUAUUAUCUAAGAUUUGCUGAACUUAAAAAAGAACCCUUUUAAAUGUUGACAUAAACUCACAAGAAGUUGCAGAAACCCCAUGAGGCAGCUCCCCCAACGUGAUCACAGCGCAUUAUCCGAAUAAGGAAAUUGUUUGGAACAACACCAUAGGCCAGACUACAGACCUUACUCAGAUUUCACUACUAUGGCAGGUGUCAUUCUGCUUAUAUUUUCAUGUAUAUUUCUAUGACAUUUUACCAUGUAUAGAUUUAUAUGCCCAUCAUUGUAAUCAAGAUAAAGAGAUGUUGUUUUCAAAGCAAAUCCCUCAUGUGGCUCUUGUUACAUCUGUCCUUCCUUUCCCUAACUCUAGGUGACCA